rnacentral:rRNA from 1 species
ACGAACGCUGGCGGCGUGCUUCACACAUGCAAGUCGAACGGAAAGGCCCUGCUUUUGUGGGGUGCUCGAGUGGCGAACGGGUGAGUAACACGUGAGUAACCUGCCCUUGACUUUGGGAUAACUUCAGGAAACUGGGGCUAAUACCGGAUAGGAGCUCCUGCUGCAUGGUGGGGGUUGGAAAGUUUCGGCGGUUGGGGAUGGACUCGCGGCUUAUCAGCUUGUUGGUGGGGUAGUGGCUUACCAAGGCUUUGACGGGUAGCCGGCCUGAGAGGGUGACCGGCCACAUUGGGACUGAGAUACGGCCCAGACUCCUACGGGAGGCAGCAGUGGGGAAUAUUGCACAAUGGGCGGAAGCCUGAUGCAGCAACGCCGCGUGCGGGAUGACGGCCUUCGGGUUGUAAGCCGCUUUCGCCUGUGACGAAGCGUGAGUGACGGUAAUGGGUAAAGAAGCACCGGCUAACUACGUG